CCUACGGGUGGCAGCAGUGGGGAAUAUUGCACAAUGGUGGAAACCCUGCUGCAGCGACGCCGCGUGAGUGAAGAAGUAAUUCGUUACGUAAAGCCCUAUCAGCAGGGAAGAAACACUGACCUUACGGUCAGCAGACGGUACCUGAGUAAGAAGCACCGGCUAACUACGUGCCAGCAGCCGCGGUAAUACGUAGGGGGCAAGCUUUAUCCGGAUUUAAUGGGUGUAAAGGGAGCGUAGACGGGGCGCCAAGUCUGGAGUGAAAUGCCGCAGCUUAACUGCGGAACUGCUUUGGAAACUGGCGAACUAGAGUGCGGGAGGGGUAAGCGGAAUUCCUAGUGUAGCGGUGAAAUGCGUAGAUAUUAGGAAGAACACCGGUGGCGAAGGCGGCUUACUGGACCGUAACUGACGUUGAGGCUCGAAAGCGUGGGGAGCAAACAGGAUUAGAUACCCCAGUAGUC
rnacentral:rRNA from 1 species